AAACAAGACAAAGUCCCUUUCAUUGAAGGACAGAGUUUCCAAACUUUACAGUAAGUAACUCUUUACAUACAGUGGCUGACUAUUUAUCUCACAAAUGUUCUUCUCCCUUUAUGUUGGGUCAACAAGCCAUUCUUGGAAUCUACACAUUUUGAAGAAGUUGGCACAGAGUUGGGAUUUGAACAGUUUUUUACUCCAAAUGUGUAGAUCUAGAAUUGAGGUAGAAAAAAAAAAAAAA